GUACGGCGAGUGAAGCGGCAACAGCUCAAAUUUGAAAUCUGGCUUCGGCCCGAGUUGUAAUUUGCAGAGGAAGCUUUGGGCGCGGCACCGACUGAGUCCCCUGGAACGGGGCGCCAUAGAGGGUGAGAGCCCCGUAUAGUCGGACGCUAAGCCUGUGUAAAGCUCCUUCGACGAGUCGAGUAGUUUGGGAAUGCUGCUCAAAAUGGGAGGUAAAUUUCUUCUAAAGCUAAAUACCGGCCAGAGACCGAUAGCGCACAAGUAGAGUGAUCGAAAGAUGAAAAGCACUUUGAAAAGAGGGUUAAAUAGCACGUGAAAUUGUUGAAAGGGAAGCGCUUGUGACCAGACUUGCGCCUGGCUGAUCAUCCGGUGUUCUCACCGGUGCACUCUGCCAGGCUCAGGCCAGCAUCGGUUCUCGCGGGGGGAUAAAGGCCCUGGGAACGUAGCUCCUCCGGGAGUGUUAUAGCCCAGGGUGCAAUGCCCUCGCGGGGACCGAGGUUCGCGCAUCUGCAAGGAUGCUGGCGUAAUGGUCAUCAGCGACCCGUCUGAAACCCAGGAACACAAAAACGCCGGUUUCUUUGGGACAAUUCCGAACCUCUUUUCCCGCGAGCGCAUUGCACCCUGGUCUAUCACACUC
rnacentral:rRNA from 1 species